rnacentral:rRNA from 1 species
GCUUACGGCCAUAUCACGUUGAAAGCACCGGUUCUCGUCCGAUCACCGAAGUUAAGCAACAUCGAGCCUAGUUAGUACUUAGAUGGGUGACCGCUUGGGAAACCUAGGUGCUGUAACUA